UAAAAACCCCGACUUCGGAAGGGGUGUAUUUAUUAGAUACAAAACCAAUGCCCUUCGGGGCUCUUUGGUGAUUCAUGAUAACUAUACGAAUCGCACGGCCUUGCGCCGGCGAUGGUUCAUUCAAAUUUCUUCCCUAUCAACUUUCGAUGUUUGGGUAUUGGCCAAACAUGGUUGCAACGGGUAACGGAGGGUUAGGGCUCGACCCCGGAGAAGGAGCCUGAGAAACGGCUACUACAUCCAAGGAAGGCAGCAGGCGCGCAAAUUACCCAAUCCCGACUCGGGGAGGUAGUGACAAUAAAUACUGAUACAGGGCCCUUUCGGGCCUUGUAAUUGGAAUGAGUACAAUUUAAAUCCCUUAACGAGGAACAAUUGGAGGGCAAGUCUGGUGCCAGCGGCCGCGGUAAUUCCAGCUCCAAUAGCGUAUAUUAAAGUUGUUGUGGUUAAAAAGCUCGUAGUUGAACCUUGGGCCUGGCUGGCCGGUCCGCCUCACCGCGUGCACUGGUCCGGCCGGGCCUUUCCCUCUGUGGAACCCCAUACCCUUCACUGGGCGUGGCGGGGAAACAGGACAUUUACUUU
rnacentral:rRNA from 1 species